rnacentral:lncRNA from 1 species
UCUACAAAAAUAUCAAUUGUGAAAGGUGGCCUUAGAAAUUUUAUCAAUGUUUGUAUAAAUGUUGUAUUUUUAUUUUUUGAAGUUCUGUUGUUUUAGUGCUUGUUCUUAGGGCCAGUGUUUAACUUUUGAAACAGAUCCUUAUAGAAAGGAAUGAGAAUUCUGUGUUAAUUUCAAUAGUAGAAAUGGAAGUUUUUAAUGAUAUUAUGUUAUAAACAUGAAUUGUGCAAUAAUGUUGUAAUUUUUUCUUGCCAA